rnacentral:rRNA from 1 species
UACGUAGGUGACAAGCGUUGUCCGGAUUUACUGGGCGUAAAGAGCGCGCAGGCGGUCGUUCAAGUCGAGUGUGAAAGCCCCCGGCUCAACUGGGGAGGGUCACGCGAUACUGAUCGACUCGAAGGCAGGAGAGGGAAGUGGAAUUCCCGGUGUAGUGGUGAAAUGCGUAGAGAUCGGCAGGAACACCCAGGGGGAAACCAGUCGACUGGGCAGCACCUGACGCUGAGGUGCGAGAGCGUGGGGAGCGAACCGG